rnacentral:rRNA from 1 species
UACAGAGGUCCCAAGCGUUGUUCGGAUUCAUUGGGCGUAAAGGGCGCGUAGGCGGCUACACAAGUGGCGGGUGAAAUCCCUCGGCUUAACCGAGGAACUGCCUGCCAGACUGUGUGGCUUGAGACCGGGAGAGGUGAGUGGAAUUCCCAGUGUAGCGGUGAAAUGCGUAGAUAUUGGGAGGAACACCAGUGGCGAAGGCGGCUCACUGGACCGGAACUGACGCUGAGGCGACG